AGUGAACGCUGGCGGUAGGCCUAACACAUGCAAGUCGAACGGCAGCACAGUAAGAGCUUGCUCUUACGGGUGGCGAGUGGCGGGCGGGUGAGGAAUACAUCGGAAUCUACUUUUUCGUGGGGGAUAACGUAGGGAAACUUACGCUAAUACCGCAUACGACCUACGGGUGAAAGCAGGGGAUCUUCGGACCUUGCGCGAUUGAAUGAGCCGAUGUCGGAUUAGCUAGUUGGCGGGGUAAAGGCCCACCAAGGCGACGAUCCGUAGCUGGUCUGAGAGGAUGAUCAGCCACACUGGAACUGAGACACGGUCCAGACGCCUACGGGAGGCAGCAGUGGGGAAUAUUGGACAAUGGGCGCAAGCCUGAUCCAGCCAUACCGCGUGGGUGAAGAAGGCCUUCGGGUUGUAAAGCCCUUUUGUUGGGAAAGAAAAGCAGCAGGUUAAUACCCCGCUGUUCUGACGGUACCCAAAGAAUAAGCACCGGCUAACUUCGUG
rnacentral:rRNA from 1 species